CCUACGGGAGGCAGCAGUGAGGAAUAUUGGUCAAUGGGCGUAAGCCUGAACCAGCCAAGUCGCGUGAGGGAUGAAGGUUCUAUGGAUCGUAAACCUCUUUUAUAAGGGAAUAAAGUGCGGGACGUGUCCCGUUUUGUAUGUACCAUAUGAAUAAGGAUCGGCUAACUCCGUGCCAGCAGCCGCGGUAAUACGGAGGAUCCGAGCGUUAUCCGGAUUUAUUGGGUUUAAAGGGAGCGUAGGUGGAUUGUUAAGUCAGUUGUGAAAGUUUGCGGCUCAACCGUAAAAUUGCAGUUGAAACUGGCAGUCUUGAGUACAGUAGAGGUGGGCGGAAUUCGUGGUGUAGCGGUGAAAUGCAUAGAUAUCACGCAGAACUCCGAUUGCGAAGGCAGCAUACCGGCGCCCAACUGACGCUGAAGCACGAAAGCGUGGGUAUCGAACAGGAUUAGAUACCCUUGUAGUC
rnacentral:rRNA from 1 species